AUGCACAUUGUCUCCUUGGUUUUCGGCUGCCAUUGCAGAGCCCUUCAACAUUCUCUGGGCCAGACCCUGCUCCCUGACAGUUGCCCUCAGAGACUGUCGAUUCAUCCACAGAGGGACCUAUGCCAGAAACUUGGAAAGCUGAUGUUUUCCAUUGUGCUGUUGAUGGUAGCCACACCUGACUUCUGUCUGAAGUCUUCAGCUGCUCAUUUUACGAUGUCAGUCUGGAGCGUGAAGCUGGUGGUGUUCGUGGUUGCAUGUGAUAUAUGGAAAAGCAGGACACACAAAAAAACCGUUUGUUGCCCUCACAUUCUGAACUUCUGUACACUGAUAUUUUAGCAAGGCCUGUGUCAGGGUCUUCACAGAAAUUUUAUAUGUAUGUGGUUCUUUAAGGACAAACACAUUAAACAGUUGUCUAAAUAUAUCUUUCCCGCAUUUAUCUCUUCUUUUGAGGAUACAACAACUGCAGACUAUUUACUUAGUUUAAUUUUAAGUAUUUUCAAAACAUUUCUAUAAUUCCUUCCAGAACAUGAAGUAUAGACAAGUAAGAAAAUUAGAAAAAAAAAUUGAACAUAGCUCAGAAGGAUAUUCUGUUGCUUGUUCAAUUCCUUCAUCUGGUUAAAUUGAGGAAAAUACGGUAAUGGUGUCAGAUGGUCUCCAUCUUUUCCUAUUUUGUCACUUUUCAUAGCGUUCUCUUGUCCAGCAGCAGCAAAAUGUCUUACCUUGUUUCUAAGUUCCUCAAUUAUCUGGUGAUACUUCUUUAGUCCUGUUUUACUUCUUGACCAUUGCCCCAGGUCCAAAUUUCUUAUACCGUGCUUUGAUUUCAUGUUCAAGUGAAUGGCUUGCCUGCUCCAGAGCGCCAUCUUGUCCGGGCUGACUGCGAGAGGGUCAUUGGGUUUCACAUCGUAUCCUUCUCAUUAUCAGAGGGCAGCCCACUCUCACCUCCUCCCUGCCUGGCACCCCCAAAGUUGGUACAAAAAGCUCCACCUGAGGAGAUGCCCCCCCAUCCCCCGCCAACUAGGAUUCUUCCUUUCCUGUGAUCAGAAUCUAAUUGCCAUAGGCUAGAUUUUUGGGCGAAGUGGGACAGGUUGGAAGGGUUUCAGUCCUGCAAAAACCAACCUCCAGGAGAGUAUUAGGGAGUUAUCAGUUAGUACCUCCUUUUCUAGUUGAUAAAGUGGGUGUUUCCUCUCUGAUACUAUCACCUGAAAGAUUUUCAGUGACAUCUGUAACACUAAAUUAUCGUUUCGUUAAUUGUUAAACUCCGUAGAGUGUCUUAUUUAUUUUAAAACACAGAACAUGCCUUCAGGUAUUUAUUAUCUCACACUGGAGAAGUGAAGCAGGUAACAUUUGCAGGCUACCAGCCUACUUCAACUUGUAUUUUCACUUAUUGCAUUUCUGUCCUCAUGCAUUUUGAUGACUGUGCUUAAAACAAUUUAUUUUCCUUUGGAAUUAUAUGAUAAAUAUACCAUCUUUUCAGAUGAAGAUAUCUGAAAUCAAUUUUAGGGAUUUCUGGUAAAGUAACAGAAAGUGGUUGAUUCUUACUCUAUGUAUCCUGUCUUAAAUAAGAAUAAAAUGUAGGAAGAGAAAAUGGUCA
rnacentral:lncRNA from 1 species